AUUGAACGCUGGCGGCAGGCUUAACACAUGCAAGUCGAGCGGAGAUGAGGUGCUUGCAUCUCAUCUUAGCGGCGGACGGGUGAGUAAUGCUUAGGAAUCUGCCUAUUAGUGGGGGACAACAUUCCGAAAGGAAUGCUAAUACCGCAUACGUCCUACGGGAGAAAGCAGGGGAUCUUCGGACCUUGCGCUAAUAGAUGAGCCUAAGUCGGAUUAGCUAGUUGGUGGGGUAAAGGCCUACCAAGGCGACGAUCUGUAGCGGGUCUGAGAGGAUGAUCCGCCACACUGGGACUGGGACACGGCCCAGGCUCCUACGGGGGGCAGCAGUGGGGAAUAUUGGACAAUGGGGGGAACCCUGAUCCAGCCAUGCCGCGUGUGUGAAGAAGGCCUUAUGGUUGUAAAGCACUUUAAGCGAGGAGGAGGCUACUGAGACUAAUACUCUUGGAUAGUGGACGUUACUCGCAGAAUAAGCACCGGCUAACUCUGUGCCAGCCGCCGCAGUAACAC
rnacentral:rRNA from 1 species